rnacentral:misc_RNA from 1 species
ACGAGUUUUAAUUGUUAGGUUAGAGUUGAGCUGGUUAAUCUAAUUAAUAUGUGCUUACUCUAAUCGAAACAAGUCCACUCACUACUUAACACCUGUGAACUUAUUCAUUACAAACAUUAUUAUUUGUUAUUGGAACGUUCGAUUAUUAAAAAGUUAAUA